CAUUUUCAAACGCUGCGCAGAUACAUUGAAGUCCUUUCUGUCAGGGGUUGCUUUAGGCUCGUACUUCUGACGCUAUACUUGGGGCUUCGUGAGAGAACCGAAAAAGGCAAGCAUGACCGUUGUCAAAGCUUUGGCAGCCGUCGUUUUGAUGGCGCUAUAUGCUGGAAGCACUGCAUACGAUACAGCCGGCUGCGACUUUAGUGGAAUCGACCUGGAUGGAGCCCUGGACAAAAUUCUAGGCAAAUUGCCCCGGUACCACGCGCCAGAUGAUCGUGGAUUUCGGAGGGCUUUUGCUGGUCUGGAAACUGGCACACUGAACGUAACUGGCCUGGACAAGAUCCGGAGAUACGGACCGCUCCACUCAUACUGUGUCAACGGAACCCGGCUCAUGAGUGUGGAUGUCAUCAACGAUGGUGACGCAACCCUGUCGCUGCCGUGGAGGGCCUGCUUUGGACGAGAAGGCACGCUAAACUUGCGGACCGCAUUGUCGCGGUUUACGCUCGUAUUCCGUGUCACAACUGGAGGAUCGGAAAACAACGAAGUUCUCGUUUACGAAGGGCCAACUAUCCCCGUGAUUACCGUAGACGCACACAUAUAUAUCAAUGGCGCCGGUCCAGAAGUAAGGAUGGCUAGCAUGAUCCUGAGCAAGCUGUUGCCGGCUAUCACUGAAAAAAUGUGGAAUGACUACUUCUUCAUAUAUUUCCGUGGGGCCCUCCGGCAAGCAAUUCGCGAUGUCUCGUCUGGUUGACAUGUUGUUUAUCAUAAGUGCAUUCUCUGUCCUCGAUAAUCUUCUCUACCUUCAGUUCAUAAGAAAUAAACUUUCUGCACUACA